rnacentral:lncRNA from 1 species
UUUUCCUGGAAAACAUACUGGAGAGGAGAUUCUCAGCAAAUGUUUGCUUAAUUGAGAUAGAAGGACGGCUUCCUGAAACAAGACCGUACCACCAGGUGAAAAAAAUCAACUUUGAAAAGAGAGAAACAAAGAGCAAUCUAAG